rnacentral:rRNA from 1 species
AUUGAACGCUGGCGGCAGGCCUAACACAUGCAAGUCGAGCGGAUGACGGGAGCUUGCUCCUCGAUUCAGCGGCGGACGGGUGAGUAAUACCUAGGAAUCUGCCUGAUAGUGGGGGACAACGUUUCGAAAGGAACGCUAAUACCGCAUACGUCCUACGGGAGAAAGCAGGGGACCUUCGGGCCUUGCGCUAUCAGAUGAGCCUAGGUCGGAUUAGCUAGUUGGUGAGGUAAUGGCUCACCAAGGCGACGAUCCGUAACUGGUCUGAGAGGAUGAUCAGUCAAACUGGAACUGGGACACGGUCCAGACUCCUCCGGGAGGCAGCAGUGGGGAAUAUUGGACCAUGGGCGAGAGCCUGAUCCAGCCAUGCCGCGUGUGUGAAGAAGGUCUUCGGAUUGUAAAGCACUUUAAGUUGGGAGGAAGGGCAGUAAGCUAAUACCUUGCUGUUUUGACGUUACCGACAGAAUAAGCACCGGCUAACUCUGUGCCAGCAGCCGCGGUAAAAC